AUAUUAUAAAAGCUCUAAAGUACUUGCAUGUAAACUAUACAUUACCUGCCAGUUCUGCAGUUCAUUUGGAUUGUUUCGAACUACAUCAUUAUAGCAAAAUGAUGUUAUAAUAUUCUAAAUUUAUAACUUGAUAUUAUGCUUAUACCAUUAGGGCUCCAGAUCAGAUUAGUUUUUGAAUAAUUUACACUUUCAUUUCAAACAGGUACUUGUUUAUUUUCAAAAAUGAAGAAUGAAAAAAUCUGCUUGAUUUUAGAGAAAACAGAAAGCAUUAUCGCUCAUAUUCUUCAAACAAAAUUUAAAAAAAUACAAAUGUUGUAUAAAGAACAGUUGUUUUAUAAAUAUGUACAUUAUAGAUGCCACAUUCUUUUUAGGGUACUACUAAAACUCAACAUUUGGGGGAAAAUUACGAGAAACAUUUUAAAGAACAAAGUACAAAAUGUAGUCAUUGACUUACAAAAUGAUCUGCAGCCCUGCAGUGCCGUUAGGUAGGGUAUGGUUAUUAAGGGUAGCACAUUGAUGUAAAAAGUGAUGUUUUUGAUAUGGAGGCUGACAUUAAGUUUGCUUAAUUCGUUGCAGCAAUAUUGCUUUAACCUGAAAUUGUUGCAGAGCUGGUAUUUUAUUUAUCUGGGCAUAUUUUAAAAGGCUUAUCAAUGCAUUUGAUAGAUGUCCUUUCUUGUUCGUAAUCUCAUAAUUAGUGAUUUGUUUAUGCACAGUCAUUUGUGCCAUGCAUAGUGUAAAACCUGUUGAUAAAAACCAUUGUGUGUUGUGUAGUUAAUAUUGAUAAACAUCGAUGUUUGUUAGUGAAGCUGUGUAUGCAUUAUCCUUGAUACUUGUCGGUGAUGAGUGUAUAGUCAUUGAUAAACACAACUGUUUGCAGUGUUAUUGAUAAACACUAUGGAGUGUAUAGUCAUUGAUAAACACAACUGUUUGCAGUGUUAUUGGUAAACACUAUGGAGUGUAUAGUCAUUGAUAAACACAACUGUUUGCAGUGUUAUUGAUAAACACUUUUGAGUGUAUAGUCAUUGAUAAACACAAUUGUUUGCAGUGUUAUUGAUAAACACUAUGGAGUGUAUAAUCAUUGAUAAACACAACUGUAUGCAGUGUUAUUGCUAAACACUUCCGAGUGUAAAGACAUUGAUAAACACAAAUGUUUGCCUUGUUAUUGAUAAACACUGUGUAAAGUCAUUGAAUAACACAAACAUAUGCAGUGAUAUUAACACAAAUGUGUGUAGUGAUAUUGAUAAACACUGAUGAGUGUAUAAUCAAUAUUUGCAGUGCUACUGAUAAACACUGAUAGUGUAUAGUCAUUGAUGAAACACUGAUGGUGUAUAGUGAUUGAUGAAACACUGAUGAGUGUAUAGUCAUUGAUGAAACACUGGAGUGUAUAGUGAUUGAUGAAACACUGAUGAGUGUAUAGUCAUUGAUGAAACACUGAUGAGUGUAUAGUCAUUGAUGAAACACUGAUGAUGUAUAGUCAUUGAUGAAACACUGAUGAGUGUAUAGUCAUUGAUGAAACACUGAUGAGUGUAUAGUGAUGGAUAAACUCCAGUGUUUGUAGUGUGAUUGAUAAAUACUGUUAUAUUUAGCAUCAUUGAAUGGGUGUGUAAAUGAAGAAAGCAUACAUUACAUAUCUAAUUAAAAGAAAAGUUUAAGAUUUGGAAACCUGACAUUUCUCCAUCUAUUUGCCAUCUUGUAUUUUUUUUUUUUUUUUUUGUAUUUUUGGAUUGAGGACAACAGAAAGUGUCUGCGAAAUAGAGCAGAGUUUUCAAACAAGUACCGGUAUACUGUAUUCACCAUAUUAUUUUCUUAACACUGCAUAGUUUUCGUUUUCUAUUUGCAGCCUAAGAGAAUAUCUAGCAAUGGUGAUUUUUAAGAGGUUUUAUAUGCUAUAUUUGUCUGUAACAGAUUAAAGGGAAAUGAAUGCCUUAUUACAUGAAGAAACUUUUCUUUACUUAGUUACACUGAAAUUUUGUUUUAUGUUGCCAUUUUUUUUUUGUAACAUUGUUACUCUUUGAUAUAUUUUGAAAAUUCUUUCACCACAAUGAAUUAAGAGCAAGUAGGCUAUAUGUGUGAACAGUGUUGCCUUUCACUUUAAAACAAUGAAAAAUACAAAAUAACUGUUUUGAAGCAUUUUGAACUACAUGUAUUCUAAUUUUAAAUAUCACAGUGCCUAUAAGUUCAUGAGACAAAUAUUGUGAUAUCCUCUGAUUGAGAUUGAGAAAGUUGGCUUGUACACCAUAUUUAAGAAAAGGAAAUUAGGAUUGUUUAGAAACAUUGACCUCUCCCUCGUAUCAGUUGGAUGGUUCCAUUCAUGAUUUGGAUUAACCAUUUAGAAUUUUUACAUUUUUGUCAUAUGAAGUUGUUACUGCAAAUUUAAAGGAAGUAUUAACGUUGUUGGUAUACAUAUUGUUCAGUACAAAGUCUGUAUGUGAGAGAGUGGGGUUUCCAAAUCAUAAAAUGUUUUUUUCUUGUCUUUCAUGUUACAUUAACCAUAAAUAGUCAUAAUGCACUUCUAGAAUUUCUAGAUGGUAAAAUGUAGACUUAAAAAUGCAUUUACAAAAAUGCAGAGUUCACUAAAAGACCCUUGAGAUUGUACAAAAAAAAAUGUGCUGAUCAGUAAGUUAUGCUUACAACUGCUUAAUUCCUUCUUUUGGAAUAUUGCACGAAGACACCAGACCUAAACUUUCUAUGUUGUGCAUUAGAAAAAAGUAUGUAUGUUCUUGCUGCUAUGUUAGAAUUCCUUUGUUGGUAAGUCUGAUGUAGAUAAUAUGUAAAUCCAACAUAGAAAUUGUUUACAUUUAGUAAUGUAAUAUCCAAGGCUUAUGCAAAUAGAUCAUAGAUAUGUGUUUUUCAUUUACAUAUUACUUUCCUUCAUAAGAGCUUUGGCUGAUGCUGAAUAUACCAUAUAUUCCCUUAUUAAUGCCCCAGGGGAUGUUACCUUUUGCAAAUGAGAAAGUUUAUUAAAUUACUAAAGACCCUAAAAUAUAUUUUUCUUUUUAUAGUGUUAAAUAUAAAUCUUAAGUCCAGCUUUUGAUGAAUGAUUAUAGCCCUUAUAGCAAAAUUUUAGUCACUUAUGACCUAAAUUAACUUCUUUUAAUGUUAGAGGUGUUACGUUUAUACGGGAUGUUAACUAAGGAAUAUAUGGUAUGAUAAAACAUGUAUGGAUAAGUUAAGCUUUCAGUACUUUAUUCAUAUUUGGAAAAUGUUGAAAAUACAAAGUGGAUUUUUUUUUCUGCAGUUGUUUUAGAAAUAUGUAUUUAUGUGUAUUUCCUGCUUUCAAAGAGUUAAUAAUUAAAAGUGCCUGUGAAGCAAUGUAGAAAUUGUCUGACUUACUGGCUGGUCUGUGAUAAUUAUGAUCUCCUGUUUGGCAAGAAUUAUAUAUUACCGAGUUUCAGUGAGAAAAACCAUUCACCAGUCAUACGGUCUUUAAUAGAAGGGUUUCUAGUCAAGAAAUAUUAAAGUUUCUUACAUAUUCAUAUGAUUAAAAUGAUGGGUUUUUUAAAGCAAAAAUACUUUGAAAGCUGUAGGAUGCUAAUCUGAAUGUUAAAGACCAAUAAUGGAACAUAACAUUGUCAUUGGCUGAUCUCAAGGCUGGUUAAAGAAACAACUAAUCAAAAGAUGGAACCUUAAGCCAUGCCUGAUAUGGAAAUUUCCCCCCUGAAAAAAAAAAAAAAACAACUAAUUUUAAUCUGACUUGUAUGAUUUCUGCAAGCAGAUUGUGUCCAAUUUUAUGCAAUUUUUCAAUGAAAUAAUUUACAAGAAAAGUCUUUGGUAUAUACUAUAUAUUUAUUGUUCUUAAUGAUACAAGUACAUUGUUUUAACUGAAUUUGUAGUAAAGCCUAUAAAAAGGUAAGGGUAGUCUCCUUGGAAGCAUUGAGCACUUUGUUUGGAGCCCAGUCCGUUAACUGCGGCUUUUGAUUGGUUGAUUUUAAACUCAGACUUGACCAGUGACAGGGCUGCAUUUUGAGACUGGUCUCCAAAACUCAACUUUAUAGCCUUUGACCUUGGUUUUGUAUUAUUUCUGCAUGAAUGUUCAGAAUUCCUUGUAUUAUUAUUUGUCUCAUUUUGUCUUGGAUACAUGAAUAUAUGUACAAUAUUAUUGUCAUUAUUAUAAUAUGUGUUGUGUAAGUGUUUAUAGUUGGCUAGUUUGGAAGUACCUUUGUUAAAUUUCUAUUGUGUUCAGAUAUUCAGUGUACUUAUUAUAUGGUAUUUUAUCAAUUUUGUAUUGUCAAAAAUAGAGAUGCUCAUAUUGAUCUGUUUAACCAUUACCCUGCUAAAUUUCUAAAAUGGAUUGGUUCAUCAUUCAGUUUGGGCAGUACCACUUAUUAUUCAAAGGGUUGUUUGCUGAAAAUGUACUGACUGCAGACUGACUUUCAGGGUGAUCUUGGUCUGCACUGGUCACAAAGGUAGAAUCACUUGCCGCCAGCAAGCUAAAGGUUACUCGCCCACAGUUUGGGUGAAAUUUUUCAACAUAUGCAUUUCCAUGUUCCAAGUUUGGCAUAAAAUAUAUGUAUGACAUAGAAAAAUGAUAAAGUUAGUGAUUAAGCCUUAUCAUGCUGGGCACGAUUGAUUCUGCCUUUGCGACCAGUGUAGAUCAUGAUCAGCCUGAACAUCCAUGCAGUCUGAUCAAGAUCUGUACUGUUCGCUAUUCAGCCAGUAUGUUUUUGGUAAACACCCCUUUUAACAGUUAAUGGUACUGUCCAAAUUGAAAGAUGGACAAGUUUAUUAUAGAAAUUUAGCAGGGUAAGGGUUAAGUAUUAGAUACUUGUAAAAUGAAAAGAAGACUGUUGAUUAUCUUCAUUUAUUUCAAAAGCUUUGCAAUGGUAUACUCCCUUUUGCACAAUGAUUUGGGUUAUUUAUUAGAAAAUCAUAAGUUUGUACCAUUCAUCACUUUUACAGUAUCCACAUUUUAUAGAUUUUUUUAGGGGAAAAGUUUUCACCUAAAAUGUGUGAACGAGUCGCUUCAAAGCUGUGCAAUUGCUCUCAGUAGCUACACAAUUUUCUCUUUUUAUGAAAUGAAGCAAGGUACUGAUCUUAGUAUCACCUAUUAAUUGACUAAAUAGUAUUAUUUUUUCUUACUGUUUUUUUUUUUGGGUCUAUUAUUGUAUUAAACCAGAUUUGUGCUUUUGUACAUUUCAUCAUAAUUGUCUUCUUACCAAAAUAAUUUACAUCUAGAUUAUAAUUUCAUUUUGCCUUCCAUUCUUGUUUUGUGUCAUAGUUUUUGUUAUUUCUUGAUGUGCUUUCUUUAUAUUCAUUUCUUUUCAGUUUUGUUGAGCUUUGAAUUUAUUUAUUUCAUAGAGUGUAUGUGCUAAAUGUAUACUGCAACAGUGCACUUCUUUUUACAUAAUGGGUAGUAACAGUCGGCUAGAUGGAGCUUCCUUUUCAGUUUUAAAAAAUUACCAUUACUUGUUAAUAGAGAAAGUUAACUGGAAUUUGUGGCCUUAUCUUUUCUUAAAGGUGUUGUUCGAGGCCAUCAACUGGAUAUUUUAUUUGUUCAGUUUCCAAAAUGUUUGCCGAAAAUUUAUGGGGUUUUCUUUUCUUGGUGUGUUUGCAUUGAAGGGGGAGAGGAGAAGGGGAGCAGUUGAUGUCCAGCUAUUUUAACUGAAACCCCUUAUUGCUUUCGGACAAUAAGAAAAUUUGCUUAUAUUCUUUUAAAAACUUUCAUAAAAUAUCAUUUAUUGUUCUCAUUAUUGUUAUUAUGUGUUGGUACCUAUAUGAAAAAUUCUCAUGCAUUAUUCAGCCAGCGACUGAAAAGUUCUCGAGCAUUAUUCAGCCAUUUACUGAAAGUUCUCGUGUGUUAUUCAGCCAUUUGCUUAAAAGUUCUCCUGCAUUAUUCAACCACUGUCUAAAACUUUACUGUGCAUUAGUCAGCCAGUAAUCAAUACCAUAAAGAGUUAUCUACCAUUUGACCAUUUGCCAUUUCAAUUAGAAAAUGUUCAAUUUUUUUCAAGUAAGAGCUUGAGCCUUUUGCACUUAGGAAAACAGUCAGGAUUCGUGUGAUGAAAAAGUGCUUGUUGUAUAUAUUUACAGUCAGACCUAUAUUAAGCAGGCAGCCAAUGGAGGGGCACAGCAUUACUGCUUAAGGCAGAUGGCUGUUCAAGAGAAAUCAGAGUUACAACAAAUGUCAGUUUUUGAAGUUAACUGACUGUGUUAUAAAUGGCUGCUUGAUACAGGUGACUGCCGAGACAUGUUCAGCUGUAGUCAUUUCAUAUUGUUAUAUUUUUCAUAGUAUGUAUUUUUCAUAGUAUGUUUGUUGAGUGCAAUGAUAUAUUUGUUGUAAUGGUUGUAAUCAUUGAUAAAUUAUGCUUUUGUUUUAUUAAAAUAUGUUAAGAUUUUCACAGAA